GGGGAAUAUUGCACAAUGGGCGAAAGCCUGAUGCAGCAACGCCGCGUGAGUGAUGAAGGCCUUCGGGUUGUGAAGCUCUGUCUUCUGGGACGCUAAUGACUGUACCAGAGGAGGAAGCCACGGCUAACUACGUGCCAGCAGCCGCGGUAAUACGUAGGUGGCAAGCGUUGUCCGGAUUUACUGGGCGUAAAGGAUGCGUAGGCGGAUACUUAAGUCAGAUGUGAAAAUCCCGGGCUUAACUUGGGAACUGCAUUUGAAACUGGGUACCUAGAGUGCGGGAGAGGAAAGUGGAAUUCCUAGUGUAGCGGUGAAAUGCGUAGAGAUUAGGAAGAACACCAGUGACGAAGGCGACUUUCUGGACCGUAACUGACGCUGAGGCAUGAAAGCGUGGGGAGCA
rnacentral:rRNA from 1 species